rnacentral:rRNA from 1 species
GACGAACGCUGGCGGCGUGCUUAACACAUGCAAGUCGAACGGUGAACCUCUUCGGAGGGGAUCAGUGGCGAACGGGUGAGUAACACGUGGGCAACCUGCCCCCGGCUCUGGGAUAACUCCAAGAAAUUGGGGCUAAUACCGGAUGUUCACCGCUUCCCGCAUGGGUGGUGGUGGAAAGGGUUUCCGGCUGGGGAUGGGCCCGCGGCCUAUCAGCUUGUUGGUGGGGUAGUGGCCUACCAAGGCGACGACGGGUAGCCGGCCUGAGAGGGUGACCGGCCACACUGGGACUGAGACACGGCCCAGACUCCUACGGGAGGCAGCAGUGGGGAAUAUUGCGCAAUGGGCGGAAGCCUGACGCAGCGACGCCGCGUGGGGGAUGACGGCCUUCGGGUUGUAAACCUCUUUCAGCAGGGACGAAGCGCAAGUGACGGUACCUGCAGAAGAAGGACCGGCCAACUACGUG